AAUUACUUAACCGCUAAACCAUAAUAUAUAGNAAAAAUGUUCUUAAUAGUUUUCGGCUGGGGUGGCCCUGGAGUAAAACANACCCUCCAGAAUGAACGGAAUAAAACCCUAAUCUAAGAAUUACAACUCAAANAAUCAAAAAACUGACAUUACUGAUCCAAUUAAUUGAUUAACGAAACANGUUACCCUGGGGAUAACANCGCANUCNAUUUUGAGAGCCCCUAUCAACAAAUGGGNUUACGACNUCGAUGUUGGAUCGGGGUAUCCCGGUGGCGCAGCCGCUACUAAUGGUUCGUUUGUUCAA
rnacentral:rRNA from 1 species